rnacentral:rRNA from 1 species
CAAGUCGAGCGAUCGGCCUUGGAGGGGUAACCCUCCUUGGUACGGAGCGGCGAACGGGUGAGUAACACGUGGGCAACCUGCCCCAGGCUCUGGAAUAACCCCGGGAAACCGGGGCUAAUGCCGGAUAUUCUCGUCGGAUCGCAUGGUCUGACGAGGAAAGCUCCGACGGCCUGGGAGGGGCCCGCGGCCUAUCAGCUUGUUGGCGGGGUAACGGCCCACCAAGGCGACGACGGGUAGCUGGCGUGAGAGCGUGGCCAGCCACACUGGGACUGAGACACGGCCCAGACUCCUACGGGAGGCAGCAGUGGGGAAUCUUGCGCAAUGGGCGAAAGCCUGACGCAGCGACGCCGCGUGGGGGAUGAAGGCCUUCGGGUUGUAAACCCCUUUCGGCAGGGAAGAAGAGAAAGUGACGGUACCUGCAGAAGAAGCCCCGGCUAACUACGUGCCAGCAGCCGCGGUAAGACGUAGGGGGCGAGCGUUGUCCGGAUUUAUUGGGCGUAAAGCGCGCGUAGGCGGCCCGUUAAGUCGGGGGUGAAAACCCGGGGCUCAACCCCGGGCCUGCCUCCGAUACUGGCGGGCUCGAGGCAGGUAGGGGAGAGUGGAAUUCCUGGUGUAGCGGUGAAAUGCGCAGAUAUCAGGAGGAACACCGGUGGCGAAGGCGGCUCUCUGGACCUGUCCUGACGCUCAGGCGCGAAAGCUAGGGGAGCAAACAGGAUUAGAUACCCUGGUAGUCCUAGCCGUAAACGUUGGGUGCUAGGUGUGGGGCGGCGUUUGACCCGCUCUGUGCCGAAGCUAACGCAUUAAGCACCCCGCCUGGGGAGUACGGCCGCAAGGCU